ensembl:lncRNA SNHG26 small nucleolar RNA host gene 26
GCGGGCGGGGCGGGUGCUGGACCCGGAGGGGCCUUCCGGCAACUUUUUGGUUGGUGCCGCCCCGCCCAGGCCCCUUUUAAACUUGAUCUCCGCAGUGCCCUCCCUUUUCGGCCGCGGCGCGUGACUGGGCUUGGUGGAGUUUCAAGAUGCUGAUGAACUUAAGGUCUGGCGCUUGAAAGAAUCAGUGAAGCUUUUCAAGUAGAGGAGGUAUAUUUGAAUAUGUAACCUUUAGUAUCUACAGAAUAGAGGUUGCUUUUUUUUUUUUUUUUUUGUCCCUUUCACAGUGGUAGCAAGGUUGAAUUUUGAGAUGGCCCCAAUCAUCUAUAGGAAUAUUAUUUGACAGUUUUGGAGACACAAAACUGCCUUAUAGCUGACUUGAUCCUGUAGAACAUUUCUGUGGAAUUCAAUUCUAUUAUUUAAGGUAGUUUUUCCAUGAACCAGCUGUGGUCUGUAACUUGACAGUGUUAAUAAAACAAGUAGCAAUACCUUCAUCAUGGUUCACAUGGUCAACAAAGAUAUGACUUAACUCUAAGAUUGUUAUUUUACAGUAUAGUCUUUUUUUUUUUUUUUUUUUUAUAAUAGAUAGUUUCACUCUUGUUGCCCAGGCUGGAGUGCAGUGGUGCAAUCUUGGCUCACUGCACCCUCUGCUACCCAGAUUCAAGCGAUUCUCCUGCCUCAGCCUCCUGAGUAGCUGGGAUUACAGGCGCGUGCCACCACACCCAGCUAAUUUUGUAUUUUUACACAUUUUUGUUUGUUUGUUUGAGACGGAGUCUCACUGUCGCCCAGGCUGGAGUGCAGUGGCACGAUCUCAGCUCACUGCAACCUCUGCCUCCCGGGUUCAAGCGAUUCUCCACCUCAGCCUCCCGAGUAGCUGAGAUUACAAGCUAAUUUUUGUAUUUUUGUAGAGACAGGGUUUCACCAUGUUGGCCAGGCUGGUCUCGAACUCCUGAUCUCAAGUGAUCUGCCUGCCUCGGCCUUCCAAAGUGCUGGAAUUAAUAGGGGUGAGCCACCAUGCCCGCCCAGUAUAUUCUUUUUUUUUUUUUUUUUUUUUGAGACGGAGUUUUGCUCUUGUUGCCCAGGCUGGAGUGCAGUGGCAUGAUCUCAGCUCACCACAACCUCCACCUCCUGGGUUCAAUCAAUUCUACCUCAGCCUCCCGAGUAGCUGGAAUUACAGGCAUGUGCCACCACACCCAGCUAAUUUUGUAUUUUUAGUAGGGAUGGCGUUUCUCCAUGUUGGUCAGGCUGGUCUAGAACUCCUGACCUCAGGUGAUCAGCCUGCCUCAGCCUCCCAAAGGGCUGGGAUUACAGGCGUCAGCCACUAUACCCAGCAGUAUAUUCUUAAAUAUUACUGUUGAGCCAUAUAUACGACAAUGGUGGACUUUGAAUGUCCGCACAUCUGUAGUAAAAUGCAAUGCUACCUUCAUUUUUUGUUGGUAUGCUAAAGAAAUUUUAAGUAUCUCACUUUUAAAAAAAUAGGUUUGUGUAUUUUAUGUGCUUACACAUUUUUCCAUAGUACUGUAGAUCAUUUUAGUGAUGAAAUUUGAUACUUUUGACAGAAAAACAGGUCAGUGAGUUCCUUGGGAUCAAAAAGGGGUUGAUUACAAGGGCAGGAAGGAAUUGUUAGUGUGAUUCUACAGUUCUGCAUCUUGAUUAUGGUAUGACUGUGCGUUUGUCAAACCUUAACAGGAUGAAUUUUGCUGAAUGUAAAAUCAUACUUCAAUAAACAUGACUUUAAAAACUUAA